rnacentral:rRNA from 1 species
AUUGAACGCUGGCGGCAGGCCUAACACAUGCAAGUCGAGCGAGCGGCGGACGGGUGAGUAAUGUAUGGGGACUGCCCGAUAGAGGGGGAUACCUACUGGAAACGGUGGCUAAUACCGCAUACUAACGCAUAACCACUAUGGGAUUAGCUAGUAGGUGGGGUAAAGGCGCACCUAGGCGACGAUCUCUAGCUGGUCUGAUAGGAUUAUCAGCCACACUGGGACUGAGACACGGCCCAGACGCCUACGGAGGCAGCAGUGGGGAAUAUUGCACAAUGGGCGCAAGCCUGAUGCAGCCAUGCCGCGUGUAUGAAGAAGGCCUUAGGGUUGUAAAGUACUUUCAGCGGGGAGGCGUUACCCGCAGAAGAAGCACCGGCUAACUCCGUGCCAGCAGCCGCGGUAAUAC